UACGUAGGGUGCGAGCGUUGUCCGGAAUUAUUGGGCGUAAAGAGCUUGUAGGCGGUCUGUCGCGUCUGCUGUGAAAAUCCGGGGCUCAACCCCGGACUUGCAGUGGGUACGGGCAGACUAGAGUGUGGUAGGGGAGACUGGAAUUCCUGGUGUAGCGGUGAAAUGCGCAGAUAUCAGGAAGGAACACCUGGUGGCGAAGGCGGGCUCUGGCGGAAUGGAGCUGAGGAGCGAAGACGUGGGGAGCAAACAGG
rnacentral:rRNA from 1 species